UACGUAGGGUGCAAGCGUUGUCCGGAAUUAUUGGGCGUAAAGAGCUCGUAGGCGGUUUGUCGCGUCGGCUGUGAAAACCCGGGGCUCAACCCCGGGCCUGCAGUCGAUACGGGCAAACUAGAGUGUGGUAGGGGAGACUGGAAUUCCUGGUGUAGCGGUGAAAUGCGCAGAUAUCAGGAGGAACACCGGUGGCGAAGGCGGAUCUCUGGGACGGUACUGACGCUGAGACGCGAAAGCGUGGGGAGCGAACAGG
rnacentral:rRNA from 1 species